GGUUCCAUAGUAUAACGGUUAGUACAUCAGACUCUGACUCUGUAAAUGCGUGUUCGAUUCACGCUGGAACCU
rnacentral:tRNA from 1 species